UACGGAGGGUGCAAACGUUGCUCGGAAUCAUUGGGCGUAAAGCGCACGUAGGCGGCUUGUUAAGUCGGAUGUGAAAGCCCUGGGCUCAACCCAGGAAGUGCAUUCGAAACUGGCGAGCUUGAAUAUGGAAGAGGGUCGCGGAAUUCCCGGUGUAGAGGUGAAAUUCGUAGAUAUCGGGAGGAACACCAGUGGCGAAGGCGGCGACCUGGGCCAAUAUUGACGCUGAGGUGCGAAAGCGUGGGGAGCAAACAGG
rnacentral:rRNA from 1 species